GCGUCGGUUGUAAAACGGUUUUAGCACGCUCUCCCUGAGAGAGUGAAAUCUGGGUUCGAAACCCAGCUGACGCA